rnacentral:misc_RNA from 1 species
GAUGAAGAACGCAGCGAAAUGCGAUAAGUAGUGUGAAUUGCAGAAGUACCGUGAAUCAUCGAAUCUUUGAACGCAAAUUGCACUCUCUGGUAUUCCGGGGAGUAUGCCUGUUUGAGGGUCGCUUAACAAACCAUCGAUUUCGUUGCUUUUUUUUUUUAAAAAAGUGAUGUUUAUCGGAUUUGAGCCGUCUUUUUUUUAUAUUUAAGGUGCUUAAAAUUGAUUUUUUUGGUACGAUCGAAGCGUAUUUUUAUGAUCAAUUUUUGGUUAAAGAAACGCACACGUACCGUUAUUUAUAUGAUGUAAUACGUUUGACUAUUGGAUUUAGUUCAUUCGUAUACGAUAUUUUUCAAUAUUUGACCUCAAAUCAGGUAAGAACACCCGCUGAACUUAAGCAUAUCAAUAAGCGGAGGA